GCCGAUAUCCUGACAUCUGGUAUGUUUUCUUCGAUAAAUCUGGUAGAAGUCCCUUACCACCAUCCUCGAAGUGCACGAAGAUUGCCAAAUCUUAAUGUCCUGGCUACUGUUGAGUGGGAGUGCCAAGGAUUGCAUGCACUCUGUCAAGGGCAUCCCAAAAAAUUAGGCCACCACAUCUGGAUCCCAUUCUCUGCCAUUUG
rnacentral:lncRNA from 1 species